rnacentral:lncRNA from 1 species
ACUUUGCUUAAAAAAAAAACGAAAGCUUAGUAUGCCUACAGCCCAAUAGCAAGGGGGGGUUGUUUUACGGCCGGGGUGGAACUUGUACAUCAAACAGGUUUCGCCAAACAAAACAACCAACACGUUUAAACGAAAGAAAAGUUCGAACUGACAGCUAUAAGAAAAUGUGCAAUUUUACUCUUAACAAACAGCCAACUUUCGUUUAGCAGAUUCUCAGCUUCGCUUCAACCGUUAUAUGCAGAUUGCAACGCUAUCGAUGCCUUGAUUGACAGAGCUUAGAGGAAAUCGAAAGUGGACUGGUCAUCCUAUGGGAGCAAGAGGAGGAACAUUUUUGAAGCAAUUCCAAGUGGACUGGUCAUACUAUGGGAGCAAGAGGAAGAACAGCUUUGAAGCAAUUCCAAGGCAACCCAUGGAAACAAGAUGAAGAUCUGACAGCAGCAACGCCUGGGAAUACUCUUAAUCAUAAUAUUAAUUUGCCCAAUAGUUUAAUUAGGUAUAUUAAUAUAACGUUCAUCAUAACCAAAGCCAUAAUUGAACUGAGCCAAAAUUGAUUGCCCUACUGUAAACUGAAAACAUACCUGAAAAUGUAAAACAGAUAUAUAGCAGAAACAGAACGGAUUGUCUUUUAAGUUCAGUAUCUAAACGGCGCAUUUCCUUCAUAUAUAGUAUUAUAUUAAAUAAAUAUAGUUCUUAAUUAUUAGUAUUAAAUCAAGGAAGCAAAGUCACAUCAGCAAUACUGUAAACUUUUUGCAUGCAAUUCUUUUCAACCAUGUAAUUUUUGUAAAUUUCCACCGAUAAUUAUUGUCAAUAAACAUCAAACACUGUA